UCCAGAUAGAGCCAGCAGCAGGGCCGGGGCGGACAGGUGGUGCGCUGCUGCUUUUUGUUGUUGUGUGCAGUUGAUGUAGCUGGCUACGAGCAACGUCACGUCUCGAACCUCAACAACACAAGACAGCAGAGAAAUACAGGCAGAACGUUGAACGUGGCUGUGUUGCUGCCUAUCGCAGGGUCAGAAAUCUUUCGGAGUUCAUCCAAAGCAUCUUGAUUUGGAGACGAACAAAGCUCUUACGGGUUUGGAACGACAUGAGGUGUACCUUUGUCAGAUGUCCUUUCAUGACGGGCCGUGUGUCGGGGUGAGUGAAGAGCGGACUAGCGGCUUUGAUCUUCAGGACGCUCUGGAGGACCCUCAGCCACUCCUCCAGCAGGUUUGGAGAGUCUGCUUUCAG